CGUGUGUGAACGGAGGUUGUUGGAGAGGAUCACCGUGACGAGAGGGUCACAGCGUCUAGAACAACUGAACGAGUCAGAGGCCCAGAGGAGGACGAGAGCUUCAGAGCUCGAGCGUUCCAACUUCCGCUGCGGCAGGUUCCCGGCCGGCCUCGUUGGCGGAGUCUAAAGAUCGGGCACGGAGAAACAGAGGGAGUUCGGCCGUCGACGAAAAUAAGCAAUUUAGGGUUCUUAUAUGGUACCUAAAGCCUGUUUUCUGCCGCCGCUAUCACUGUAAAUACUUCAUGCGCCCCCGGUACUUUCCGAAGUUCCAGCCACGUCGUCGACGUCGACAACAUCGGCGCUGGUGCCGACGGUAUAGGCCCUUUCUGUGCUUGUUUACGUCGGGGUUCGGUUCUUGUUCUACUAUAUACGAGUACUCAACCACCUCUUCGUGAGACAGCUUUACUGAUCAUACAGUUGUUGAGUUGUAGGUGGUUGUAUAGUCGUGAAACAACCGUUACGGCAUUAACGUGAAACAUGAAUUACCAUCUAAUUCGAUAGAAGUCCCCAGUACGAUGAAGUAGGCAACCUUUUACAGUGUGGACAAAGACACUCGUACUGCCACCUUGACUCAUUUUGUGUAGGUACCAGUAAUUUGAACCGAGAUUCCAAAUCAAACUAGUGAUAGACCCCACUUCGAUCUUGUUUUUAGGUAACAACAAUCGAAAUAAUAAAUCGCGGUAAGAACAUGAAUAUUUGUCACUACACCUGAUAGGUUAUUUCACGACCGAUUUAAUGUAACCACGAUCGAUUGGUG
rnacentral:rRNA from 1 species